AAGUAAUAUAUAUAGUCUCACAUGGGAAUAAAAUAUAGCAAAGUGGUUAGCCAAAAAAGUAUUUCCAUAUAACAAGCCACACACAAUAUUCAAUCAUAAACACAUACUGAUCCAAUCUUUACAAACACUAUAAUCCAUUGAGAAAGAGAGAAGACAAGGAGAGAUGGGUGGUUGUUUUUCAUGCAAAUCAUCUACAAAAUUCAACAAUAUUCGAGUAGUUCACUUCAAUGGUUAUGUACAAGAAUUUGAAAAUCCCGUGUCAGUUAGCCAAGUGACUACAGGCCAAUUACCCUCAAGGAAUCUUGUCUUCACUGCCGCGCAGCUUCUUUCUGCGGAAUCGAAACCAUUGAAGCCUGAUGUUCAGCUAGAGACAGGCCAACUCUACUUCUUGCUUCCAUACUCAAUACUGCAGCCUGAUGUUUCUCCUGUGGACUUUCUUGCUUUGGUAAAGAAGCUCAGUUCAAUAGCAAAGUCUAGCAGGUGCGGUCAGGCUAAGUCUUCAGGAACUAGUUCCUCGUUGGGCCAGAGUAAUCCGAUAUGUAGAGCACAGGUUAGAACGUCAUGGAAGCCGGUUUUGGAUACCAUCAGAGAGAAGUCCUUCAACCGGAGGAGUGAAUCAGAGCUACAGGACAUGGAUUUCGAGACCUCGAAAAGGAGCUUGAGUGUUGGGAAGAUCAUCAACAUCGGAGACUCAAUUGGACGUAUAUGCAUGAGAGUUUACAGAUCCGAAUAAACAAAUACUUGCCACCAUUAGUCUAGCUCCGAUACCACUUGUUAGGGAGGGAGAUAUAUGUUGGGGAAUCACUCGAGACUGCACGCAUAAAGGUUUACAUACAUAACAUUUAACCCAACAAUCGACUCAUCUUAAUUUUCAGGGUCUAUAUUGCUCGGACUCGAGAUCUAUAUCAGAUAUGGGGGCGUAACCGACAUGCAUACCUAUGUUUUCGAAUCUUUCCAUAUAAUUGGAGUCUCCGUGUGUCUAUAGAUCUAUAUCUGAUACGGGUACUCUAUAAGGCAAAAUGAAGGACGUCAAAGCAACAUAGGUUAGGACGACUGGUGAGUAUGGUUUGAAAGAAAGCGGGGUAGGUGAUUAAACGUGGCUUGACCGAAUCCUGAAAAUUCAGCUCUGCCUUGGUGAUAGAGGAUCUAGCUGUAGGAUUAACCAGAACAUUCGUUUCGAAACUAGUCAUCUGAUCCUGUAACUUGAUACAUAGUUCGGGUUGCCUGAAAAUUGUUUCUCUUAUUGGUGGAAGCUGAAACGCAUAGCUGAAUGGCUAGCCAAGGAAACUAGUUGCCAUCAAUGGUCACUAAGAACCAGGUUUUGCACUAAUCUCUGUAGUAUUGUGGACGCGAAAAGGGAAGGACCACGAAUUUUUCAGGAAAAUGCUUGAAAGAAAACAGCUUCUCGUUGCAAAAUACCUAGUAAUCACAUAAUUUAUUUGCUGUUUUGGUUAAGGAUGAUGAAGUACUGUAAUCAAUGAAGCUCAAACCUUGUUUACA